rnacentral:rRNA from 1 species
GACGAACGCUGGCGGCGUGCUUAAUACAUGCAAGUCGAACGGAAAGGCCCUGCUUUUGUGGGGUGCUCGAGUGGCGAACGGGUGAGUAACACGUGAGUAACCUGCCCUUGACUUUGGGAUAACUUCAGGAAACUGGGGCUAAUACCGGAUAGGAGCUCCUGCUGCAUGGUGGGGGAUGGAAAGUUGCGGCGUUUCGGGAUGGACUCGCGGCUUAUCAGCUUGUUGGUGGGGUAGUGGAUUACCAAGGCUUUGACGGGUAGCCGGCCUGAGAGGGUGACAGGCCACAGUGGGACUGAGGUGCGGCCCAGACUGCUACGGGAGGCAGGAGUGGGGAAUAUUGCACGAUGGGCGGCAGCAUGAUGCAGCAACGCCGCGUGGGGGAAGACGGCCUUCGGGUUGUAAACCGCUUGCGCCUGAGACGAAGCGUGAGUGAGGGUAAUGGGUAAAGAAGCACCGGCUAACUACGU